rnacentral:tRNA from 1 species
GGGCCCAUAGCUCAGCUUGGAUAGAGCGACAGACUUCUAAUCUGUAGGUCGCGGGUUCGAAUCCCGCUGGGCCCG